GCAACCAGGUGCCUUAAUUGAGUCUCUAGCUCCAGUUAACCCUUGUCGAGCUAGUGUAGGAUACAUAUCCCAUCAGUUCCCUGCAGAAAUAAAGUGACUCAGUAUAAGAUGGCCUGAGAGAUACAUUAUACAAGAUAACACAAGGAGCCUUUACCACAGUAACAUGCCAGCCUUACCUUAGUAAUUUAUCAAAUAAAAAUCUGGAACAAUUAAUGCAGGAUUCAAGGAACUGGCAGUGAACCAUUUCCCACAAAGAAAGGCAAAAUCAUAGGAAUUCCAAGAUAGCAUAUUGGUUAAACCAAAAAGGGAAGAAAGAGUCCCUCUUGCAAGCUCAUCUACUUUAUAUCUGGAAUCUGCUCACCUGGUAUUCAAUAUAACUCUCCAUUUAUGCUGCAACUACAACAAAUGCUACAGUAGCUGUUCCAUACUGUGAAUGCCUUUUAGGAACCUGCGUUUGAUGAGCUCUGAGCUGGCUGUAGUGAUGCUCUGAGGAUCUACUGCAGCAUAUGGUGGACAAAAGGUUCUCAAUCUCUUCUGAGAUCCAAGUGUGCUUCACUGCAGGUGACUGAACAACGAGACUCCUUUUUUGAUUCAUUCUCAGUUAGAAAUGAGCAUCUGGGGACUAGCUUGAUGGUGGAAGAUGGCAAGGCAGGUGUAAACACUAGAGCUAGAAGGCUAAAAGAAUGAAACUCUCCACUCCCUAUUUAGAGGAAAAGGCAGCUCUUGCUGUGGGAAUGAGAUUUGAAUUGAACAAGGGGCGGGAGUUCUGUCCUAGAGACCAGAAAUCCUAUCCCAGGGAGCAGAGAUUCUGUCCAAAAGUCCUGUUCCCCACCCAGAUAUUCUGAACCUUGUGUGAGUGUUUCUGCAGGACUGGACCAGGACCAGGCUGAACUAGUGGCAGGAAAAAUGCAGAGCUAACUUCACAGCAAUGGUUGACUGGACUAAUGGUAGCAAAUCUGAUGUCACAGAACCAGACCGGGUAGAUGCACAUUGGGUGUAACCUGAUGGUGUGGCCUGCAUUAGACUGCAGCAGACCAG